rnacentral:tRNA from 8 species
GCGGGUGUGGCGGAACUGGUAGACGCACUGGAUUUAGGUUCCAGCGCCGCAAGGCGUGGAGGUUCGAGCCCUCUCACCCGCACCA